UACAGAGGUCCCAAGCGUUGUUCGGAUUCAUUGGGCGUAAAGGGUGCGUAGGCGGCGCGGUAAGUCGGGUGUGAAAUCUCGGAGCUUAACUCCGAAACUGCAUUCGAUACUGCCGUGCUUGAGGACUGGAGAGGAGACUGGAAUUUACGGUGUAGCGGUGAAAUGCGUAGAUAUCGAGAGGAACACCUGCUGCGAAGGCGGGUUGCUGGGCUGACACGUGACGCUGAUGCGCGAAAGCCAGGGGAGCGAACGGG
rnacentral:rRNA from 1 species